CUUCUCUCGGUUCCAGUCGAUCCACCGCCGCCCCUCUCCAGCCGACGAUCUCUCCUAUGGAUGAGCUUCCCCGGACAUCGCCGGCCUCACCUCCUCACGCCAGCCGCAGAGCCGUUGCACGGAGCAGCGUCGAUGCCUUACAGUCGUCGCCCUUGACGUCACUAGGGUGAGCCACCGGUUUUCCCUCAACCUUGAUGCUGCUCCAUCCCUCUCUGCCCUAGCGUCGGCCGCCCGAUCCACUACCACCUUCGGCCACGACAAGAGCUGGCCAGCAGGACGUUGAUUGAAGAUGGUUGACACGAUUUGCAUAUAAAG